AUAGCAAUAACUUUCUAAUCUUCAGUCCUCAAAUAGGUAAAUCUAGCUUGAAGUUUGCAUUCUAACAUAAAAAAUUUUCUACAAAGGAGCCACAGAACUCUGAAAAGUAGGGAGGAAACAUAAGGAGUAACAUACAAUAAAAUCUAAUCAAUCUAGAUUAAAGAAAGGCACUGGUAUAAUUAUCAUCAAAAUGUUAGUGGACACAAACUAG
rnacentral:misc_RNA from 1 species